rnacentral:snRNA from 1 species
AUGGAACGAUUCGAAUCUG